rfam:Perkinsus marinus ATCC 50983 gcontig_1104296545624, whole genome shotgun sequence.
AACCUGCUAAAUAGUUGCGCGAAACUUUAUGUUUCGUCGCUACUUCUUAGAGGGACUUUGUGUGUUUAACACAAGGAAGCUUGAGGCAAUAACAGGUCUGUGAUGCCCUUAGAUGUUCUGGGCUGCACGCGCGCUACACUGACACGAUCAACAAGUAUUUCCUUGCCCGGUAGGGUUAGGGUAAUCUUUUGAAAUCGUGUCGUGCUAGGGAUAGACGAUUGCAAUUAUUCGUCUUCAACGAGGAAUUCCUAGUAAAUGCAAGUCAUCAGCUUGCGUUGAUUACGUCCCUGCCCUUUGUACACACCGCCCGUCGCUCCUACCGAUUGAGUGAUCCGGUGAGCUGUCCGGACUGCGAUUAGUUCAGUUUCUGUUCUCUUCGCGGGAAGUUCUGCAAACCUUAUCACUUAGAGGAAGGAGAAGUCGUAACAAGGUUUCCGUAGGUGAACCUGCGGAAGGAUCAUUC